CCUACGGGUGGCUGCAGUGGGGAAUAUUGCACAAUGGGGGAAACCCUGAUGCAGCGACGCCGCGUGAGUGAAGAAGUAUCUCGGUACGUAAAGCUCUAUCAGCAGGAAAGAAAAUGACGGUACCUGACUACGAAGCCCCGUCUAACUACGUGCCAGCGGCCGCGGUACUACGUCGGGGGCAAGCGUUAUCCGGAUUUACUGGGUGUAAAGGGAGCGUAGACGGCGCUGCAAGUCCGGAGUGAAAGCCCAUGGCUUAACCAUGGUACUGCUCUGGAAACUGUAGAGCUUGAGUGCGGGAGGGGCAGGCGGAAUUCCUGGUGUAGCGGUGAAAUGCGUAGAUAUUAGGAAGAACACCGGCGGCGAAGGCGGCCUGCUGGACCGUAACUGACGUUGAGGCUCGAAAGCGUGGGGAGCAAACAGGAUUAGAUACCCGUGUAGUC
rnacentral:rRNA from 1 species